rnacentral:rRNA from 1 species
GCGGGAAAAGCUCAAAUUUGUAAUCUGGCGUCUUCGACGUCCGAGUUGUAAUCUCGAGAAGUGUUUUCCGUGAUAGACCGCAUACAAGUCUCUUGGAACAGAGCGUCAUAGUGGUGAGAACCCAGUACACGAUGCGGAUGCCUAUUACUUUGCGAUACACUUUCGAAGAGUCGAGUUGUUUGGGAAUGCAGCUCAAAUUGGGUGGUAAAUUCCAUCUAAAGCUAAAUAUUGGCGAGAGACCGAUAGCGAACAAGUACCGUGAGGGAAAGAUGAAAAGCACUUUGGAAAGAGAGUUAACAGUACGUGAAAUUGUUGGAAGGGAAACACAUGCAGUGAUACUUGCUAUUCGGGGCAACUCGAUUGGCAGGCCCGCAUCAGUUUUUCGGGGCGGAAAAUCGUAGAGAGAAGGUAGCAGUUUCGGCUGUGUUAUAGCUCUUUACUGGAUUCGCCCUGGGGGACUGAGGAACGCAGCGUGCUUUUAGCAUGAGCUUCGGCUUAUCCACGCUUAGGAUGCGGGUUUAUGGCUGUAU